ACGCUGGCGGCGUGCCUAACACAUGCAAGUCGAACGGGGUCAAAAAGCUUGCUUUUGACUUAGUGGCGGACGGGUGAGUAACGCGUGAGUAACCUGCCUCUGAGAGGGGAAUAACGUUCUGAAAAGAACGCUAAUACCGCAUAACGUAUCGAAGCCGCAUGACUUUGAUACCAAAGAUUUUAUCGCUCGGAGAUGGACUCGCGUCCGAUUAGUUAGUUGGUGAGGUAACGGCUCACCAAGACCGCGAUCGGUAGCCGGACUGAGAGGUUGAUCGGCCACAUUGGGACUGAGACACGGCCCAGACUCCUACGGGAGGCAGCAGUGGGGGAUAUUGCGCAAUGGGGGCAACCCUGAACCGCAGCAACGCCGCGUGAAGGAUGAAGGUUUUCGGAUUGUAAACUUCUUUUAUCAGGGACGAAGCUUGACGGUACCUGAUGAAUAAGCUCCGGCUAACUACGUGCCAGCCGCCGC
rnacentral:rRNA from 1 species